rnacentral:misc_RNA from 1 species
AACGCACGAGACCUGCGGACCUGCGGAAGGAUCAUUACCGAGUUAGGGUAGUCACUCACUGCCCGACCUCCCAACCCUGCGUCUACCACACUUUGUCGUUGCUUCGGCGGACCGGUUGACCAACUGGUCGUGACCGCCGGGGGCUGGCUCUGUCCCCCCUGGAGAGCGUCCGUCGAUGGCCCAACCACAAAACUCUUGUACCGAAACGUGUCGUCUGAAUUAUAUUUGAGAAAUCAAAAA